rnacentral:lncRNA from 1 species
AUAGCACACCGUCCAUCGCACGAUGGACGGCCACGUGCGGAUGCACGCUCGUUGCGUGCAGCCAUGUGCGGCCAUCCAUCGUGCGAUGGAUGGGGCAUGCUGUGCACUACACGGUAUGAUGUACAGUAGAGAAUUAGUGCAUAAUUAAUUAAGGGAGGGUCAAAAGAGAGCAAGGCGUCAUCUCAUAUAGGAAAGUAAGGGGAAGGAGAUGGGAAUCAGAUCUGAGUGGCUAUCUUCAUAGGAGGAGAUAUAAGAGAAAAAGGGUCCAAGGAGACUGCCUUCAUUGGGAAAGAGGGAAGAGAAAAAGGAUGGAGGAUGGUUUCCUUCGUAGGUGAA